GGCAGUACUGAAGCAAUGCUCCCGUCUGCUUUGGCCCUGUUUCUGUCUGAUAACACAGGCUGCUGCCUCCCUGGCAUUUAUCCAUCAUGUUGUGUCUGGAAACUGGAAGGGAGUAUGAUCUGAGGACAAACAGGAUGAACAGAGACCUGGAGACCUGUCCAUGGAGCUGUCAUUGAAAGCCUCAGUCAUGAAAAGACUAAGUUGGCACCAGAUACUGGAAGAAGCUUCUAUUAUUCUAUAAUUCUAGUGAAUUAUAUCUAUCUCGAGAAGAAGUGCCAGAGCCAAUCCCUUUCCCACCAGCAGGAACAGUUGAUGUG